rnacentral:rRNA from 1 species
UAAUUCGAAGCAACGCGAAGAACCUUACCAGGUCUUGACAUCCCUCUGACGGGAACUUAACCGUUCCGUUCCUUCGGGACAGAGGAGACAGGUGGUGCAUGGUUGUCGUCAGCUCGUGUCGUGAGAUGUUGGGUUAAGUCCCGCAACGAGCGCAACCCCUAUCCCCAGUAGCCAGCGGUCCGGCCGGGCACUCUGAGGAGACUGCCAGGGAUAACCUGGAGGAAGGUGGGGACGACGUCAAAUCAUCAUGCCCCUUAUGAUCUGGGCUACACACGUGCUACAAUGGCAGUUACAAAGUGAAGCGAACCCGCGAGGGGGAGCAAACCACAAAAAGGCUGUCCCAGUUCGGACUGUAGUCUGCAACCCGACUACACGAAGCUGGAAUCGCUAGUAAUCGUAAAUCAGCAUGUUACGGUGAAUACGUUCCCGGGUCUUGUACACACCGCCCGUCACACCAUGGGAGUUGGUAACGCCCGAAGUCAGUGACCCAACCGUAAGGAGGGAGCUGCCGAAGGUGGGACCAGUAACUGGGGUG